rnacentral:misc_RNA from 1 species
AGCAGGGGCAAGUGGAUUAGGUGGGGCAGCCUAGGCCAAUGGGAGGGAUGAUAAUGGCCUUGUUGCUUUGAUAAAAUCAAAACUUAGAAAAACUACCCUCCAUUCUAUUUUACAUAAGUACGAUGUGCUUGAUGGUUACAUGUUCCGUCAUGUACGUGAGGAUUUUAGGGCACACAACCUUGUCAGACUCCCUAAAUUCUUUGUAAUCUAUGAAGAAACCUUCAAAGCUGGGUUUUGGCUUCCUCUGGAUUGUUUUUACAUGGAGGUGUUGGAGUUAUAUAAUGUUUGCAUUGCCCAAUUAGUGCCCAAUAGCUGGAGGACUCUUGUAGCCUUCUGGGAUUUGUGCCAUCAACAUAACAUUGAGUGUGGGGCUAGGAUUUUGCUAUCUUCUUCUAGUUACUUGAUCACUUUGGACAGGAGUUUUAUUAUUUUCAAAGGAAAAAGGGGGUCACCUUCUAAAGGGGCUUCCAUCUUUUAUGAAGAGGUAGAAGAACAAAUUUUUUCUAUUUGCGCAGGCCAUUGGAGUUGACUGGGGGAAUUUUCCCUUGAGUUGAAAGGGGAGGUCAGUUUGAUGAAGACUGAGAAAUCGCUGUGGUUGAGUUAAAGAGUUUGGUUGAAGGGCAAUGAUUUGCUAUGGCCCCUCUAAUUACCUGAGAAGUUGGUAUGUACUAGGGUAUGGUAGAGGGGGGAUGCCCUGUUGUUGGUCCAACGACUGGGGGUACUUAUGAUGGGGAGGCACUUAAUGAGUCCGAAUGAGAAGGUAUAUUCCCACAACCUAGCUAUUUUCGAGUGUUAAACUUACUAAUCGUCUCUUUAUUAUGGAGAUAUGGUUGGCUUCAGCGAGGAAGAUAGGAGGUUACUGGCAGCUUAGGUUUCUUGAAAGACGAAGGCAAGGAGGGCCCCUUAUUUUGAAUGUCAGGCCAACUAGCGAGGGGGAAGGGCGAAUCAUCUGGGAUGCCUGAAGCACCUCAUUCCCCUGAGGUUGCUGCGGCCAUUAGGGAUGUACUUGACCCCACGAAUGCCUUCACCUUCUUCUUUCUUGAUCCUUCCUUACCUCCAGGGUCUAGAUGCUGAUUUGGUGAGGCACAAGACUAUUGAGGACAACUAUGCCUGGGUCAAAAAGCUUCUUCUUUUAGAGGCUUUGUCUGCCACUCAAAUGGUCCAAGAGAAGUUCAAGUUAUUGAAGGGUAGCUAUGGGGAGAUGCAAUCCUAGCACAACUUCAUUAAAAUGGCAAUGGAAGAUGUUAAUUGCCAGAAUCAGGAGUUAAAGAAGCUACUGGAGGCAUUAGAGAAGUGGGCAAGUCAGCUGGAGGUUGAGCUGGAGUUUGUCCGAACUUCUCAUGCUCGAGAGGUGGGUCAAUUAAUUGCUUGAUUAAAAGUUCAGGAGGAUGUUGCCAUGGACAAGUUAGCUGAUACACAUCUAGACUUACAGUCUGCAGUUAUGGCAGGCCUUUCUGAUAAGCAUCCAAGUGUUGACUUUGGUUGGGUGAAGGACCUACUUCCUAAGGGCUUUGACUUUGCUGUGGUGGGCAAUGAUGAGGAAGAAAGGGUAGGUAACGAUGCAGAUGAUGGUCAACAUUGAUGACUUUAUAUUGUUCUUUCUUUAGCAUUCGCGUUAUGUUGGGCAUUGCCCCUUUGUUCUAUAGUGUGGGCAUUUACCCAUUUUGUAUUUUGU